UCCUGCGGAUUACUACAAUUCCUCUCCAGACCAAAUUUCUUGCACAGCUGGACAAAUAUACCAAUAAACUGACAAGCAUCAUAAGACAUAAAGGAGGAGCUGCCCACUAUAAGACUGCCAGUUUCAUUCAAGCCGUAGAUCAGAAAAAUGAUGUAAACAUCAGAAGAUAGUUUGUGCUGAGGUCACUUAUUAUUUACCUUGGUGAGGAUGACAAGGAUCUUAUCAAAGAAUAUCUGGAUACAUUAGGAGAUGAUGCUGAAAGAGAAAUGAAGACACUCAAAAUGGCCAUAUUUGUCAUCCGUAAAGAGGGUGAAGGACCCUUUCACACACCUAAAGAAGUUGCCAUUGUUAUUGAAGGUGUAGAGGUGUUAAAUGGACUACAGUCUGUUGCAGCAGCUUGUCCAAUAUUGUUUGGUCUAAUGUAUGCAAUAAAUCUUAGAUACCCUAAAGAGUUAAAACUCAAUUUUGAAGUUUUCCAAAAAGUGUUUAUGGAACUGGAGGGAAAUAAGAA